AGCACGGCGGGUGGGAGAGACGCGCACCCAGACGCCCACCGUCACCUGUGGCCGAGCACCGGGCAUGGCCCCGGGACAUGCAUGGCCCUUGUUGUCCCCUAGCUCUGUGCUCCCGUCCUCGCCAGCGCACACACAGCGAUGACAAAGUGCUGUGGGCGAUGAGCGCCCAGGAGCCCAGGAGGCUCCCCGUGGCCGGGUUUGGGAGCCUUGUGAGUUCCCGCCUUUCAGGAGCUGCAGCUCUCUUGCAAGUGUGUGGGGCCCAUAAAGCCAUGGUCAGAGCCCCCUGGGAAUAGCCCAGGUUCCGACGGGCCGAUGUCACCAGUGACACAGACAAUGCAUUGGCCUGGGUGUGCUGGUCCCUGGGGCGGUGCCCAGCUUCACAGUCCCCACCCACGCAGCAACCACUCCAGGUGCCUCAAAGACCCAAUCAGGGGCAGGAGCUCUGUCUACACUGUAUCAGACCCAGGUGCACAGGGGGCAGGAGCUCUGUCUACACUGUAUCAGACCCAGGUGCACAGGGGCAGGAGCCCUGGUCUACACUGUAUCAGACCCAGGUAACAGGAGUAGGAGCCCUGGUCUACACUGUAUCAGACCCAGGUAACAGGAGUAGGAGCCCUGGUCUACACUGUAUCAGACCCAGGUACACAGGGCAGGAGUUCUGUCUACACUGUAGUUCAGACCCAGGUAACAGGGCCAGGAGCCCUGGUCUACACUGUAUCAGACCAGGUGCACAGCGGCAGGAGCCCUGGUCUACACUGUAUCAGACCCAGGUGCACAGGGGCAGGAGCUCUGUCUACACUGUAUCAGACCCAGGCACAUAGGGGCAGGAGUCCUGGUCUACACUGUAUCAGACCCAGUUACACAGGGGGCAGGAGCCCUGGUCUACACUGUAUCAGACUCAGGUGCACAGGAGUAGGAGCCCUGGUCUACACUGUAUCAGACCCAGGUACACAGGGGCAGGAGCUCUGUCUACACUGCAUCAGACCCAGGCACACAGGGGCAAGAGCCCUGGUCUACACUGUAUCAGACCUAGGUACUCAGGGGCAGGAGCCCUGGUCUACACUGUAUCAGACCCAGGUACACAGGGGCAGGAGCCCUGGUCUACACUGUAUCAGACCCAGGUACUCAGGGGCAGGAGCCCUGGUCUACACUGUAUCAGACCCAGGUGCACAGGGCCAGGAGCUCUGUCUACACUAUAGUUCAGACCCAGGUACAUUGUUUAGGAGCCAGCAAGGUGCCUGCCUGGGGUUCCCAACACCUGUGCACGCCCACACCGAACAAUCAGAAGGCAGCGUGUGUGGUCUUCAAGACCCCAGCGUGCUUUGUCCCGGGUUGGAAGGACCAGGGCCCCGGACACGUGUCACCUAAUGCUCCCUAGCCGUCAGUCUCGCCCUUAUCUCUGGCCACCAACAGGCGCGUGGCCCCGUGGGCAGGAUCCAUAGCAUUCAGAUCCAGUUCCCCCACUGUGGGGUCUCCUGGGGGAAGCAAGGCUGGCGAGCCGUGCGGCCGAGCUCUGGGUGCGAGGUUCGCCCGUGCUGGGGAGAAGGGAGGGAGCCAGGCCAGGCACCGUGGGCGACCCCGUCCUUGAGCCAGGACCCGAGCAGCGGCCACCGCGGGACCUCCUCAUGACACCUGUGCCUU